AGUCGAACGAGCGAGAGAGAGCUUGCUUUCUCGAGCGAGUGGCGAACGGGUGAGUAACGCGUGAGGAACCUGCCUCAAAGAGGGGGACAACAGUUGGAAACGACUGCUGAUACCGCAUAAGCCCACGGUGCCGCAUGGCACAGAGGGAAAAGGAGCAAUCCGCUUUGAGAUGGCCUCGCGUCCGAUUAGCUAGUUGGUGAGGUAACGGCCCACCAAGGCAACGAUCGGUAGCCGGACUGAGAGGUUGAACGGCCACAUUGGGACUGAGACACGGCCCAGACUCCUACGGGAGGCAGCAGUGGGGAAUAUUGCACAAUGGGGGAAACCCUGAUGCAGCGACGCCGCGUGGAGGAAGAAGGUCUUCGGAUUGUAAACUCCUGUUGUUGGGGAAGAUAAUGACGGUACCCAACAAGGAAGUGACGGCUAACUACGUGCCAGCAGCCGCGGUAAAACGUAGGUCACAAGCGUUGUCCGGAAUUACUGGGUGUAAAGGGAGCGCAGGCGGGAAGACAAGUUGGAAGUGAAAUCUAUGGGCUCAACCCAUAAACUGCUUUCAAAACUGUUUCUCUUGAGUAGUGCAGAGGUAGGCGGAAUUCCCGGUGUAGCGGUGGAAUGCGUAGAUAUCGGGAGGAACACCAGUGGCGAAGGCGGCCUACUGGGCACCAACUGACGCUGAGGCUCGAAAGUGUGGGUAGCAAACAGGAUUAGAUACCCUGGUAGUCCACACCGUAAACGAUGAUUACUAGGUGUUGGAGGAUUGACCCCUUCAGUGCCGCAGUUAACACAAUAAGUAAUCCACCUGGGGAGUACGACCGCAAGGUUGAAACUCAAAGGAAUUGACGGGGGCCCGCACAAGCAGUGGAGUAUGUGGUUUAAUUCGACGCAACGCGAAGAACCUUACCAAGUCUUGACAUCCCUUGACAGGCAUA
rnacentral:rRNA from 1 species